GGCAACCCCUCCGUAAGAUUGAGAGGCUUGCUUCUGAUUGAUAACAUUUGAGUGAGUGGCGGACGGGUGAGUAACACGUGGGUAACCUGCCCUAAAGUGGGGGAUAACAUUUGGAAACAGAUGCUAAUACCGCAUAAAACCUAGCACCGCAUGGUGCAAGGUUGAAAGAUGGUUUCGGCUAUCACUUUAGGAUGGACCCGCGGUGCAUUAGUUAGUUGGUGAGGUAAAGGCUCACCAAGACCGUGAUGCAUAGCCGACCUGAGAGGGUAAUCGGCCACACUGGGACUGAGACACGGCCCAGACUCCUACGGGAGGCAGCAGUAGGGAAUCUUCCACAAUGGACGAAAGUCUGAUGGAGCAACGCCGCGUGAGUGAAGAAGGUUUUCGGAUCGUAAAACUCUGUUGUUGGAGAAGAACGUAUUUGAUAGUAACUGAUCAGGUAGUGACGGUAUCCAACCAGAAAGCCACGGCUAACUACGUGCCAGCAGCCGCGGUAAUACGUAGGUGGCAAGCGUUGUCCGGAUUUAUUGGGCGUAAAGCGAGCGCAGGCGGUUUCUUAAGUCUGAUGUGAAAGCCUUCGGCUCAACCGAAGAAGUGCAUCGGAAACUGGGAAACUUGAGUGCAGAAGAGGACAGUGGAACUCCAUGUGUAGCGGGAG
rnacentral:rRNA from 2 species